rnacentral:lncRNA from 1 species
CGUCCAUAUAAUAAUACCAUGUUCAUUAUUAAGCCUGAAUUAUCCCAAUUCGAACCAGCGAUCUCUAAACCGACGAAAGUUAAAACUUAUAAUGUUUGUGAUUUAUUUGAAACAUCUGGUCAGUCCAGAGAGACAUAUCAAAGGGGCUUUUACAUCACUUCCACUUCUUGAACUUACCUCCUCCGAACAUCCCAUGCCCACGUUUAAACUUGCCUCCGUGAUGCUUGAACUUCCCGUGCUUCCCGUGCUUGAACUUACCAUGACCAUAACCAUAGCCAUGACCAUGGCCAUAUCCGUGACCAUAUGCAGCGUGUCCGUAAGGGCUGUGAGAGCUAUGAGCUACGUGGUGAGCUCCAUAGGCUGCUGCAGCACCAGCAAUCAUACCCCCGAUUCCUCCUGCGUGUCCUGAAACAAGAGUAAAGACAAA